AUGUUUCCAUGGCGCCUCCCCAUCGCCGUGCUCCUGGGCCUGGCGUGGUGUUUUUCUGACUGCGUCCGCGCUGUCGCGCAGUAUUUUCUCUGUUUCCUCUUUUGCUUCACGGCGCCGCUGCUGGUGGCGAGCAGCAGCCGCGACGGCAGCACCCAGACGGAUGGAGAGGCCAAGGAAAGCCCGCCGAGGGAAUCUGUCGAGGAGGAGCUGUCGGGCGACGUGACUGAUGGAGAGAAGUGUGGGCAGGCGGAACCUCUGGGCUCCAAGUACCCACACGUCUUCAAGUCCCUGCAGCAAGUCUUUGAGUGCGCCUACGCUCAGCUCGUCCUGCCUUGGUACAGCGUCCCGGAGCCCCGCGAGGCCCAGCCGCUGCACCGGGUGCUCAGCAGGGAGGUGGACGUGGUGAUCGACCGCAUCAUCGAGAGAGCGCGACACUUUGACGUGUGCCAGGCGGUCGUGGGUUCCAUUCGCAUUCUGACGCAACAUUUGCAUAAUGCAAAGCAGCCUGACAGAGAACUCUUGUUCACUUCCAGAACUGAAGAGAUUACAGUUCUUAGAGAGUUUUCUGAUGCUCUGGUACGUAACCUUUUCUCCAAAUCUCUGUGGAGCCAUGAAGUCCACCGCUGUGCCUUGAAUGAAAUAGUUGCUACAAAGGGUUUGGGCUUAAUAGUGAGGUGGCUCUCAGACCCCGACAACCUGAACCAGCUGGUGGUCAGCCAGCUGGACAGAGUGACCCCCAAAAGCUCAGUGGAGGACCUGUGUGGGUCCGAUCUGGAUUUGACCUCUCUGGCGUCGCAGGAGGGCGACGGCAGUGAAGUGAGCUUUGAGGAAUCAGGUUUAUCAACCAGCACCAAGACCAAGACCAAAACUAGAGCCAACAAGAUAAAACAAGGAUGGUCAAAAAUGGUCGACAAGAUGAAAUCCAAGAGAGCCAAGAAGAAAAAGAUGAAGAUGAUGGAGGCGGAGCUGGUGAUGCGAAUCAUGGCGCGCCAGGAAAACGAGGAGGACGUCAGCAGCAGGGAGGGCUCCAUUCACAGUCUGCAGGACUCUGACAGGGAGGACAGCGAUCUGGAGAAUUACAUGACAAGUGUCCAGGAAGACAUGAUGGAAUUCAAGCUGUCGUACGAGAUGUGGCGCGUGGGCCGCUGGGCUGUCAGCAUUCCUCAAGCCGGUCUGGAGGAUGAGGAGCUGACCUUCACCGUGCACGUGGAGGAGGAGGAGAGCCCAGAGAACCUGCAGUGGGACAUCAAGAAGACCUACAUGGACGUUAUCCACUUCCGGAACAGGUGGCAGGACUCGACGAGCUUGCCAAGCAUUACAGCGCUGGCGUCUGAGCUGGAGGUCACCGCCGAGGUCACCGCCGAGGUCACCGCCGAGGUCACCGAAGACACCAGAGCAGCUGUGGAACGCUUCCUGCAGGAAUUAGUUUCUGAUCAUGUGAUCGGACACACUCAGCCGGUCUUCCAGUUCCUCUGCCCUCUUGACACACUGCUGAAUGAAGAUGAGCACUAUGGAGGCGUUUGGGGCCUCCUCAGCGGUUUGGCCUACUUCCUGACUCCAGGUCAGGAGGAAGAAGAGAGCUCCAGUCCUCAGUCAGAGGGGGUGAAAGAAAGACCCUCUUUAAAUCCAGAAUCCACUGACCCUCCUGAGAUCCCAGGAACCUCUUCAGGGAAGAGCAACGGCGUUCCAGGCGCUACGAUCCCGACUAUAAUCGUCUCGGAGUAUGAACCUGUUCCAGAGCAGGUGGAGGAAACGAAGCCUGAGCAGGAGCCUCGGUCAGCAGGAACCUGCUCGGAGGAUAAAACGGAGGAUUCUGACAAUCCCCUGACCCACUUUAAAAUGAUAUUUAAAGGACUGAGCAGGUCCCGCUCUCAAGAGUCCUUGAGCAAAACCACCAGCGAAGAAGACCCGCCCCAGCCGGACGUCUCGCCACGCUGCGGCCAGAACGGCGCGAUCCGUGGGGAAACCUCUGAAGGCUCUGCCUGGCGUCACUUCAAUUCGCGUUUAAACAAAAAGGAGAAAACGACGUUCAAGGUGUUGGGUGGAGCCACCAAGGCUAAAGGCAGAGAAGGUGGGACUUUGCCAAGAGGGGAAGACUCCCAGUGUCAAAAAAGCCAGGUCAACUGGGAGCAAAUGGAGGCGACCAAAGCCAUAUUUGAUCUGCUAAAGGAAAUAUCUGGAAACUCCAUCCUUCUCAACAUAUUCGAUGCCAUUCUGAAACCCGUCAUGCCCAUCCUGAAAAAGAAAGUGAACUCCUUCCUGGACAAGAUGAACCCCACCGAAGCGCAGAUGGCCUCUUACAUCGACCUGAUGUGUGGGAAACUGUGGCCGGAGCCUCCUUCAGCGGCAGCUGCUGCCCCUCGCACCGAGGAGGAGAAGAGCGAGAGCAGGGAGAGAGCUCACGGUCUCAUCAGUGCCAGAUAUUCCAACUACAUCAUCCUGAAGAAGACGGAUAUGGAAACUGUUUUUAACAUCUUCCAAAACUGUGAGGAGAAUAAAACACUGGUGUAUAUGCUCCUGUCAUUCCUGUUGAGGGAACUAUUUCCUGAUGAACACUCCCUGAAUCUGAGCGCGGCUGCCCUUCAGAAGGGAACCAGCUGCACACACUGACCUGUGAAGUCAUCACGACGCAUUUUAAUGCCACUCUUUAGAAACAUUUUAGUGUAUUUAUCAGACAUCUCAACUAUCUGUGACCACUUCUAAAUCAUUGCCACGUAUUUUAUAUCUAUCUAUAUAUUUUUUAAACUUAGACAUACUGUGAACGUUUUAUUUUCCAUUUCAUGUGUGAAGUCAAACAUUCCUGCUGUUGCUCUCGUGCCUGGUUGUUUUUAUAAAGCAUCUCAUAUUUACAUUUCUCACGUCACAUUUUCAUGUAUAGAAUUUCUACAUUUUAUAAUGUUUUUCCCCACUCUGAGCACUUGGGGGGGUUGUUUUCUUUAGCUUUUUUAAAAAUACAAAUAUUUACAGAAAUCUCACCAAAUCACCUGAAAUGUGGACUUGAUGUCAGAAGAAACUUGAAAUUGUUUUAUAAAUGAAUUCCAAAUAAAAUAUUUUAAGAAAACACUCCAUGUUUAUUUUGCAGUAAAUGUGUUUGUUGUCUUAUUUACUCUGAGGCAAUAUUUGAAUAAAGAUAUGAAGUAAACAAGUUAAUCCUAAAGGGACAUGCUGAAGAGGAAGCACUGAUGAAACCAUUAAAAUAAAAAGUUCUGGAUAUAUAAACAGGUUCUAAUUUUCUGCUGAAAUAAACUGAAAUGAAAUAAAUAUGUUAAAUAAUGCAUAUCCCUGGACCAGUAGGAAUUGGUUUAUAGAAAAUAAGAGCAGCUGUGUUUCUAUAAGUCUUAAUGGAAAUGUCUCUAAUCCCUAUGUUAUCUCAUUAUGGAAGCAAAACAUUAUCUCUCUGCGUGCUUCUUUUAGCAAAGCUGCAGAAUCCCGCAGAACCAAACACGUUACGUGGAGAGGCAGGUCCUGUCAGUGUGAGUGAUGUCUUCAUACUCUCAGUGAAGCAGUGGACUUGAAAGAAAUGUAAAACAAGCAUCAGCAGACAGAGACUUCAGAC
ensembl:lncRNA